UGUGUUUGCAUAUCUGUCCUGCCUCUCUGCUCCCAGCCGUUAAGAGGCCAGUGUUGAUCAGUGGCUGUCCAGGCCUUUCAGAGCCACUGACACGCCGGCAGCACAAUGAUGAUGUCACUGAUUCUACUGCUGGCCACCCUGGGGCUCCUUGUUCAGGGUUCAUCAGGACAAAUCAUCCUGACUCAGUCUCCUGGAUCUCAGUCUGUUGUUCCAGGACAGGCUGUCUCUCUCAAAUGUAAAACCAGUACAAGUGUUAGUAGCUACCUCAGCUGGUACCUUCAGAAACCUGGAGAAGCUCCUAAACUCCUGAUUUAUUCAGCUACAACCCGUCAGUCUGGAGUUCCAGAUCGUUUUAGUGGAAGUGGAUCUGGGACUGACUUCACUCUGACCAUCAGUGGAGUUCAGGCUGAAGAUUCAGGAGUUUACUACUGUCAGCAGAGUGCUAACUCGUUCACACAGUGAUACAACGUCGUACAAAAACCUCCCUCAGCUGGAGA